rnacentral:rRNA from 1 species
AACGAACGCUGGCGGCAGGCUUAACACAUGCAAGUCGAACGCCCCGCAAGGGGAGUGGCAGACGGGUGAGUACCGCGUGGGAAUCUACCCUGAACUGCGGGAUAGCUCCGGGAAACUGGAAUUAAUACCGCAUGUGCCCUGAGGGGCAAAGAUUUAUCGGUUCAGGAUGAGCCCGCGUCCGAUUAGCUAGUUGGUGGGGUAAAGGCCUACCAAGGCGACGAUCGGUAGCUGGUCUAAGAGGAUGAUCAGCCACAUUGGGACUGAGACACGGCCCAAACUCCUACGGGAGGCAGCAGUGGGGAAUAUUGGACAAUGGGCGCAAGCCUGAUCCAGCCAUGCCGCGUGAGUGAUGAAGGCCCUAGGGUUGUAAAGCUCUUUCACCGGGGACGAUAAUGACGGUACCCGGAGAAGAAGCCCCGGCUAACUUCGUG